GAUUUAAGCCAGCCUUUCCCCAGGUUUGGCUGAGCGGUUGACCUGGAUGCGACACGCAGGCGUCCCAGCCCGUGACUCUGCUUUUGGUCUUGUGGUUUGGUGAGAGGGCCGCGUCCGAGCCUGGCUGCCGGAUGCUGGGUUUGGUGACUCACAUAGGGGAACAGGAAGCAAGAGGUCUGCUCACCGUCUCUGUGAGCGAGUGACCACAUUGAGGUCGGCUCUUUCUGCAGAGACGAGUGAGCGAGGGGAGAUGGCCGGAGGGGAAAGGAUCAGCUGCAGCUCUUGAGAACAGCUUAGAGCCAGAAGGUUGUAGUUGUGGCAAGAUCGAGCUAUGAGCCAAGUGGAGCUGAUCUGGGGCGCCUUCUCCCUGAUGUUCUUAGGAGCCUUGGUCAGCAUGUGCAUGAAAUGCCAACGGACAGGAGGGAGACAGGUGCAGACAGGCCUGGACAGUCAGAGGAAUAAGUAAGUAGCUGAUCACCGUUGCAUGUCUGAUUCUCUUAUUUC